rnacentral:rRNA from 1 species
GAUGAACGCUGGCGGCGUGCUUAACACAUGCAAGUCGAACGGAAAGGCGCCUGCUUGCAGGGGUACACGAGUGGCGAACGGGUGAGUAUCACGCGGGUGAACUGCCCUGCAAUUAGGGAUAUGACUGGGAAAAUGGGUAUCAUACCGGAUAGGACCACAUUAUGGAUGGUGUGGUGGAAAGUAUUUCGGUGUGGGAUCUGCUCGCGGCCUAUCAGCCUGUUGGUGGGGUAAUUGCGUACCAAGGCGUCGACGGGUAGCCGGCUUGGGAGGAUUCACGGCCAGAUUAGACCUGUGAGACGGCCCGGACUAGUGCGUGUGGCAGCAGUGGCGAAUGUCUCACAAUGCGCGCAAGCGUGAUGGAGCAACGCCUUGUGAUGGUUGACGUCCUUCAGGAGGUAAACACCUUUCUCUAGGGACGUAUCGUUUUUUUGACGGUACCUGGUGAGGAAGCACCGGCUAACUACGUG